rnacentral:rRNA from 1 species
AGAGUUCGAUUCUGGCGUCAGGAUGAACGCUAGCUCAGGCUUAACACAUGCAAGUCGAGGGGCAGCAGAUCGAAGCUUGCUUUGAUGCUGGCGACCGGCGCACGGGUGAGUAACGCGUAUCCAACCUUCCCUAUAGUAGAGAAUAGCCCGGCGAAAGUCGGAUUAAUGCUCUAGUGUUAGUAUUUAGAGGACAUCUGAAGAAUACCAAAGGUUUACCGCUAUAGGAUGGGGAUGCGUCUGAUUAGGUUGUUGGCGGGUAACGGCCCACCAAGCCCACGAUCAGUAGGGGUUCUGAGAGGAAGGUCCCCCACAUUGGAACUGAGACACGGUCCAAACUCCUACGGGAGGCAGCAGUGAGGAAUAUUGGUCAAUGGACGCAAGUCUGAACCAGCCAAGUAGCCGUGCAGGAUGACGGCCCUAUGGGUUGUAAACUGCUUUUAUACAGGGAUAAAGUGAGGGACGUGUCCCUUUUUGUAGGUACUGUAUGAAUAAGGACCGGCUAAUUCCGUGCCAGCCGCCGC